CGAUCAGUAGGGGUUCUGAGAGGAAGGUCCCCCACAUUGGAACUGAGACACGGUCCAAACUCCUACGGGAGGCAGCAGUGAGGAAUAUUGGUCAAUGGGCGAGAGCCUGAACCAGCCAAGUAGCGUGCAGGAUGACGGCCCUAUGGGUUGUAAACUGCUUUUAUAAGGGAAUAAAGUGAGCCUCGUGAGGCUUUUUGCAUGUACCUUAUGAAUAAGGACCGGCUAAUUCCGUGCCAGCAGCCGCGGUAAUACGGAAGGUCCGGGCGUUAUCCGGAUUUAUUGGGUUUAAAGGGAGCGUAGGCCGGAGAUUAAGCGUGUUGUGAAAUGUAGAUGCUCAACAUCUGCACUGCAGCGCGAACUGGUUUCCUUGAGUACGCACAAAGUGGGCGGAAUUCGUGGUGUAGCGGUGAAAUGCUUAGAUAUCACGAAGAACUCCGAUUGCGAAGGCAGCUCACUGGAGCGCAACUGACGCUGAAGCUCGAAAGUGCGGGUAUCGAACAGGAUUAGAUACCCUGGUAGUCCGCACGGUAAACGAUGGAUGCCCGCUGUUGGUCUGAAUAGGUCAGCGGCCAAGCGAAAGCAUUAAGCAUCCCACCUGGGGAGUACGCCGGCAACGGUGAAACUCAAAGGAAUUGACGGGGGCCCGCACAAGCGGAGGAACAUGUGGUUUAAUUCGAUGAUACGCGAGGAACCUUACCCGGGCUUGAAUUGCAGAGGAAGGAUUUGGAGACAAUGACGCCCUUCGGGGUCUCUGUGAAGGUGCUGCAUGGUUGUCGUCAGCUCGUGCCGUGAGGUGUCGGCUUAAGUGCCAUAACGAGCGCAACCCCUCUCCUUAGUUGCCAUCAGGUAAAGCUGGGCACUCUGGGGACACUGCCACCGUAAGGUGUGAGGAAGGUGGGGAUGACGUCAAAUCAGCACGGCCCUUACGUCCGGGGCUACACACGUGUUACAAUGGCAGGUACAGAGAGAUGGUCCUUUGCAAAACGGAUCAAAUCCUUAAAGCCUGUCUCAGUUCGGACUGGGGUCUGCAACCCGACCCCACGAAGCUGGAUUCGCUAGUAAUCGCGCAUCAGCCAUGGCGCGGUGAAUACGUUCCCGGGCCUUGUACACACCGCCCGUCAAGCCAUGAAAGCCGGGGGCGCCUAAAGUCCGUGACCGUAAGGAGCGGCCUAGGGCGAAACUGGUAAUUGGGGCUAAGUCGUAACAAGGUAGCCGUACCGGAAGGUGCGGCUG
rnacentral:rRNA from 1 species